GCAGCAAGAAAACUCACACAUGUAUUGACUCACAAGGAAUGUUGAGCGGGCCAGAAAGCGCAGUCAUGGUUGAUGUCAAA
rnacentral:ribozyme from 1 species